rnacentral:rRNA from 1 species
CACUAGAAGAGAAAGACUUUUAGCAAUACCUGCCCAGUGCGAAAUAUUACUGUAAACGGCCGCCCUAGCGUGAGGGUGCUAAGGUAGCGAAAUUCCUUGCCUUUUGAUUGUAGGCCUGCAUGAAUGGUUUAACGAGGGUUUAACUGUCUCUUGAUUUAAAAUUGAAAUUGUACUGAAGGUGAAGAUACCUUCAUUAAAAAGUCAGACAAAAAGACCCCGUGCAACUUUGAAAAUUAACUUUAUUCAGAAGCGAAAGAUUUUUAGGUGGGGCGCCUAGAAAGUAAAUCUAACCUUUCUGAACAUUUAGUUCUUUCCGGACUUGACCCGAUUAUAUUCGAUCAUAGGAGAAGUUACGCCGGGGAUAACAGGCUAAUCCUUUAGUAGAGCUCGUAUUGGCUAAAGGGAUUGGCACCUCGAUGUUGAAUCAGGGAUGAUAGCUUCAAGGCGUAGAGGCUUUGAGAGUAGGUCUGUUCGACCUUUAAUACCCU